rnacentral:rRNA from 1 species
AUGGCUAUGGCCAAGAUCAUUCCCUUCCUCCUCGUUCUAGUACCCAUUCGCAUGGCAGCCGCUCGGACGGAUUGCCCCAACGUCCCGUUACUGGGCGCAGUGGCCGCCUGCCAGAAGGCUUGCGGCACGAAGCUCAUAUACGACCUCUGCAUCCGCAUGAUGCGCCAAUGCGGUGCUGACGUGUCCCCGUCGCACAAGGAGAGGGCCACCGCAUACGCGAUCCUUGCGGCGCACUCCGCUGCGAAUUCCUUCGACGACACAAAGCUCGCCGCGAGCAACCAGCUCAGCCACAACUCCUCGCUCUCCGGCAAGCAGAGAGACGCCUAUGAGGGGUGCAUGAACGACUACGCACCGGCCGACAGCUCCAUCGACCGCAUCGCCGACGAGACGCUCCCUAGCUGCCGCUUCACGGGCCUCGCCGACGAGUACACGCGUGUGAUAAAUAGUGUGGAGAAGUGUAGGGACCGGCUGUUGACGCCGACUCUGGUGAAAACGCCGCUGUACCCCAUGGUGGUGGCCGACCGGAACAAAGCAGUGCUAGCGAACAUGCUUGGUAAACUGUUAGGCAUAUGA